rnacentral:tRNA from 1 species
UAACUUAGUGGUUAAGAGUUUGGCUGCUAACCAAAAGGGCGGCAGUUCAAUUCCGCC